rnacentral:rRNA from 1 species
GAGUUUGAUCAUGGCUCAGGAUGAACGCUAGCGGCAGGCUUAAUACAUGCAAGUCGAGGGGCAGCAGCUUUAUAGCAAUAUAGAGGCUGGCGACCGGCAAACGGGUGCGGAACACGUACACAACCUUCCUUGAAUAGGGGGAUAGCCCAUAGAAAUGUGGAUUAAUACCCCGUAAUAUAGCGGUGUGGCAUCACACUGUUAUUAUAGUUUCGGCGAUUCGAGAUGGGUGUGCGGCUGAUUAGGUAGUUGGCGGGGUAAAGGCCCACCAAGCCUUCGAUCAGUAGCUGAUGUGAGAGCAUGAUCAGCCACACGGGCACUGAGACACGGGCCCGACUCCUACGGGAGGCAGCAGUAAGGAAUAUUGGUCAAUGGACGCAAGUCUGUACCUGCCAUGCCGCGUGAAGGAUGAAGGUCCUCUGGAUUGUAAACUUCUUUUAUAGGGGGCGAAAAAAGGUCUUUCUAGAUCACUUGACAGWACCGU